UACGUAGGGUGCAAGCGUUGUCCGGAAUUAUUGGGCGUAAAGAGCUCGUAGGCGGUCUGUCGCGUCUGCUGUGAAAACUCAGGGCUUAACCCUGAGCUUGCAGUGGGUACGGGCAGACUAGAGUGCGGUAGGGGAGACUGGAAUUCCUGGUGUAGCGGUGAAAUGCGCAGAUAUCUGGAGGAAUACCGGUGGCGAAGGCGGCAUCCUGGACCGGGAUUGACACUGAGGAGCGAAAGCUAGGGGAGCAAACGGG
rnacentral:rRNA from 1 species